AGUCCAAGCGGAAAGAUGGGAAGCUUGCUAUCUGAUGUUAGCGGCGGACGGGUGAGUAACACGUGGGUAACCUGCCUGUAAGACUGGGAUAACUCCGGGAAACCGGGGCUAAUACCGGAUGCUUGAUUGAACCGCAUGGUUCAAUUAUAAAAGGUGGCUUUUAGCUACCACUUACAGAUGGACCCGCGGCGCAUUAGCUAGUUGGUGAGGUAACGGCUCACCAAGGCAACGAUGCGUAGCCGACCUGAGAGGGUGAUCGGCCACACUGGGACUGAGACACGGCCCAGACUCCUACGGGAGAGCAGUGGGAAGGC
rnacentral:rRNA from 1 species